AAGGCAUGUCAAUGUGGUGAAGCUGUAUUGUAGUAUUACCAGUGAGGAUUCUAGCCUGUUAGUCUAUGAGUAUAUGCCUAAUGGGAGCUUAUGGGACCGGCUGCAUACUUCAAGGAAGAUGGAGCUCGAUUGGGAGACGAGGUAUGAGAUUGCAGUGGGAGCAGCUAAGGGACUGGAGUAUCUGCAUCAUGGAUGCGAUAGACCAGUGAUUCACAGAGAUGUAAAGUCCAGUAAUAUUUUGUUGGAUGAGUUCUUGAAGCCUAAGAUUGCUGAUUUUGGGCUGGCCAAGAUUGUUCCACCAAGUAAUGGAGGCAAAGACUCCACCCAUGUCAU
rnacentral:misc_RNA from 1 species